GACGAACGCUGGCGGCGUGCCUAAUACAUGCAAGUCGAACGAGAGCGACCGGUGCUUGCACUGGUCAAUCUAGUGGCGAACGGGUGAGUAACACGUGGGUAACCUGCCCAUCAGAGGGGGAUAACAUUCGGAAACGGAUGCUAAAACCGCAUAGGUCUUCGAACCGCAUGGUUUGAAGAGGAAAAGAGGCGCAAGCUUCUGCUGAUGGAUGGACCCGCGGUGCAUUAGCUAGUUGGUGAGGUAACGGCUCACCAAGGCCGGGAUGCAUAGCCGACCUGAGAGGGUGAUCGGCCACAUUGGUACUGAGACACGGCACAGACUCCUACGGGAGGCAGCAGUAGGGAAUCUUCCGCAAUGGACGCAAGUCUGACGGAGCAACGCCGCGUGAGUGAAGAAGGUUUUCGGAUCGUAAAACUCUGUUGUUAGAGAAGAACAAGUGCUAGAGUAACUGUUAGCGCCUUGACGGUAUCUAACCAGAAAGCCACGGCUAACUACGUG
rnacentral:rRNA from 1 species